UACGUAGGGGGCAAGCGUUGUCCGGAUUUAUUGGGCGUAAAGAGCGUGUAGGCGGCCUGGAAGGUCAGCUGUGAAACUCGAGGCUCAACCUCGAGACGUCGGUUGAAACCACCUGGCUAGAGUCCGGAAGAGGAGAAUGGAAUUCCCGGUGUAGCGGUGAAAUGCGCAGAUAUCGGGAAGAACACCCGUGGCGAAGGCGGUUCUCUGGGACGGUACUGACGCUGAGACGCGAAAGCGUGGGGAGCAAACAGG
rnacentral:rRNA from 1 species